rnacentral:rRNA from 1 species
UCUCCUCCAAAACAUGCGAUUUGUCUGGUUAAUUCCGAUAACGAACGAGACUCUAGCCUAUUAAAAAGAUGCGUCGUUCUCUGUACCUUGCACCCUUUUUAGAGGGACGAGCGGCUGCUAGCAGCACGAAACAAGCAAUAAAAGGUCUGUGA